AGAAAAAGGUCAAACGCUUCGUUAAAGCCAAGCCCACUCAAAAUCGGAAAAGUCAAUCUGCUUCCAUCUUGAACAGACAUGGCACAUCACAUCGUGGCGAACGACCACUCCACUUUGUGGGGAAUAUGUCCACUAACCACGAAUCUAAACGGCCAUACCUGGAAACAGUCCUGGAGGACUGCUUAGCUUGUCAUGCGCUAAUUGAUUCGGGUGCGACAAUAUCACUCAUCUCUCAAACAUUGUUUGAUGAUCUCAAAAGGGCUUUGAAGCCAACUAAACGUUGGUUAAAAGUGGAACGAUGCGACACUACACUUCGAGGGGUCACUCAGACUACCUCGCCUCUCACAUUGAGAGUCAUGCUGAAACUACACUUCCAGGACGUAUCGCUCGUUCACCCUGUGUAUGUUACCAGCCUCGAAACUGUAACCCUGCUACUUGGAGCAGACUUGAUGGAUCGGUUACUCCCAUUGAUGGAUUGGAAAACCAACCAGGUAUGGUCACAGGCCACAGUGCCUUCUCCACUGACCACACUGUCUUCCCCUAACGCUAGCUGCAAUGCAGUCAUUCACGAGGGGUAUCUGUCAAAAGCACCCCUUGGGAAAAAGACGUUUAGAAACCUCUUGGUGCAGAAGCCGAUCCAAGGAGAUAUUACGAUAUCUCGACACAUUCCAUCAGCCAAUCUGAUUGACCAUUCUUUUCAUGAUUUCGAGCCAGCUGUCUCUGUGAAUGAGCAACUUCCCUCCUUCUUGCAGUCGUGCAAUACGGUAGUUGAGAUGAACUUCUCUGGCCCUUCGGACACUUCCGCAAGCACUGCGGCCGUCUCAGCAAGAAAAACAUUGAUGUGCAGAGUACACUCUGCUUCCGAUGAUACACCUUCUGCUUUGUUGGGGACUGUCACCCCUUACAAUGACACUAAUGGCGUCAGUCCAGCAACUGACCCGAUGACUCCCACUGGUGAAACACUUUGCGAUAUCACAGACCGAUAUCCUCGUCUCAGUUUGCAGGUACUGAAGAGGUUGCCACACGCGGACGCGGUGGUGACUGACAGACCUCGACA
rnacentral:lncRNA from 1 species